rnacentral:rRNA from 1 species
AACGAACGCUGGCGGCAUGCCUAACACAUGCAAGUCGAACGAGACCUUCGGGUCUAGUGGCGCACGGGUGCGUAACGCGUGGGAACCUGCCCUUAGGUUCGGAAUAACUCCCCGAAAGGGGUGCUAAUACCGGAUAAUGUCUUCGGACCAAAGAUUUAUCGCCUGUGGAUGGGCCCGCGUUGGAUUAGCUAGUUGGUAGGGUAAAAGCCUACCAAGGCGACGAUCCAUAGCUGGUCUGAGAGGAUGAUCAGCCACACUGGGACUGAGACACGGCCCAGACUCCUACGGGAGGCAGCAGUGGGGAAUAUUGGACAAUGGGCGAAAGCCUGAUCCAGCAAUGCCGCGUGAGUGAUGAAGGCCUUAGGGUUGUAAAGCUCUUUUACCCGGGAUGAUAAUGACAGUACCGGGAGAAUAAGCGCCGGCUAACUCCGUG